UUUCUGCAUGUUGCUCUCCCACUAAGCAUUAAAACCUACAUAUCCUGGUAUAUAUGGGGCAGGAAGGAAAUUCAGAAUUAGCAUCAGGAGAGAAGAGGUUCUCAAACAUCUUAGGCUUCUUUGGAUUAAUUUAGAUGCAAUCACAAAUAGGCAGAGUACAACUAGCUCCCUUAGUAUUAGCAGUUCUGAGGUUGGAGUGCCAGUGGCUCUCAGAUUGUAGCAUUAGCAGCACUCCCCAUAUGUUCCUGGCACCCUGAGCCAGCAACUCUCUAUCAUGGAAAGCCAUCACCAAAAUGCUUCAAAACUUCAUACAUCUUUAAACCUCUUGAAUUCAGUAAAGAGAGAAAAGUAUUUAUGCACUGUUUUAUGAUAUCUUAAUGUGUCAUUUCUGUAUUACACCAUGUGAAAUGCAACACUAGACAACAUUUCU
rnacentral:lncRNA from 1 species